UACUGAGAAAGCCACACCCUGCGUGAGCAGGGGCCGGAAAGCUUCAGGUCCUUCAGACGGAGAGAAGGAUGGCUGGGUUGCCAAA
rnacentral:ncRNA from 1 species